UGUAUUUUCCCAUCUCUUAUUGGGUUUUUAUCUCAAAAUUCCUCUAUACUGCUGUCAGUAUUCUGUCCAUCCACUUGUCCUUAUUUACCAAUUCUUGCUUCAGAGUGAAAGUUUAGACUCAGUAUUCCACGUGGAAUUUAAUCUUCUUUAUUGUCUUUCUCGUGGUCUCUGGAAGGAGCUGAGGCAACACCCAUCUUCAGGUCAGCAUCUUGAACUGCAACUCCUUCCCCAUACUAACUCCUGGUUACUACAGUGAGUCUCCAGUUUAGGAAUGAGUUCCAUUCUGGGAGUUGGAUUCAUUGUUACCUUAAAAUGGUGGCACAGUUCAGUACUGGCAUCUAGGGGACCGCAUGGAGUGGACAGGGUGAGAGUUACUAACUGGAGAAGGGAGGGUAGGUGGGAGAUGCUGGAGU
rnacentral:lncRNA from 1 species